CAGGCCUCUUAUCAGCAACCGCAUGCUUUCUGUUCCUUCCUCAAUCCCCAAACCAAAUGGGACGCAGUUGCUGGGGAGCUGUUUGGGAAAACCAGGCUGACACAGGCAGUGGUGUGUGAAGAAGCUUGGCCUGCCCUGGCCACCAUCACAGGACGGUAGAGCUUCAGCAGGCUAUCUGGUUGUUGUAUACACCACCGGUAACAGACUCCUGAAGGGAAGAAACGGAAGUGCUGAAACCUGCUAGAAAGAAAAAAGGGAAGAAGGAACCUGUCCCCUGCUUACUAAUGUUAGCACUGAAAUGGCCCAUACAAGGACUGACUAUCAUAUUUGCUUUAUCAAAGUGAAUGGUGCAUAGCUGCCAAUGACCCAUUUUACCAAGACAGCUCCAGGAAUCUGUGGUCCAGCCCUUAGAAAUGUAUGAGGAAGACAAAGCUACUGCUAGCCGUCUCCAUAGUGACACCCUGACAGUAUCCUGAGAAAACAUUUUUACUUCAGCACCUAAUGGAUUUGCCUCCUGAACAAAACCACUCAAUAAGAAAAGUGCCAGGAAUAGAAAAGUCAUUCAUUAUGGUGUGCAGCUCAUUGUGAUCUGCUUUGGCCUAGACUGUGAUAAGUGAUUUUGCAUAGUGUUCUGAAAUGGUGAAGAAAUAGAUUUUUCCCCCACAUUUGUUUAGCUUGCUGAAUUCAGAGAUCAUUUAAGU